rnacentral:rRNA from 1 species
CCUACGGGUGGCAGCAGUAGGGAAUAUUGCUCAAUGGGGGAAACCCUGAAGCAGCAACGCCGCGUGGAGGAUGAAGGCUUUCGGAUUGUAAACUUCUUUUGUUAGAGAAGAUAAUGACGGUAUCUAACGAAUAAGCACCGGCUAAUUCCGUGCCAGCAGCCGCGGUAAUACGGAGGGUGCAAGCGUUACUCGGAAUCACUGGGCGUAAAGAGCGCGUAGGCGGGAUAGCAAGUCAGAUGUGAAAUCCUAUGGCUUAACCAUAGAACUGCAUUUGAAACUGUUAUUCUAGAGUAUGGGAGAGGUAGGUGGAAUUCUUGGUGUAGGGGUAAAAUGCGUAGAGAUCAAGAGGAAUACUGAUUGCGAAGGCGGCCUGCUAGAACAUAACUGACGCUGAUGCGCGAAAGCGUGGGGAGCAAACAGGAUUAGAUACCCUUGUAGUC